UCAUCAAUGGAGUGGGAUUCCAGACAUCCCAAUUAGCCGCAAUAUUUUGAAAGGAAAUUAAACAUUUCUGCAUACCAUGGCCCCUGUGGCCAUAGCAGUGGUGCUCGUAUGUGUCUGGCUUGGUGCAAACACCACGGAAGUUCCCGUUACCCCAGAAAUUUCCUCAACAGUAGCAUUAGGUAUACUGACAAGUAGAACAAUGAUGUUAAGACAGCCGCAGUGCUAUUUUGAUGAAGUGGAAGGCCUCCCCUGCUCUUCACACCAAUGUGAGAUAUGGCUUGUGGUUGCCAGAGGUAAUGGAGUUCAGAGGUUUGAGGGUCAGAAGACGAGCAGCGGCAUCUUGUCAGCCUCACCGUACCCCGAUGCCUUCCUGGAUGGCACGUCACCCAACUUCUUCAUCACCAGACUGGGAGUUCAGAGCAGCUUUCUCUGUGCGGAGCUGCCUGGGAUCAGGUACUUCCGGGUAGGGUCGGAGGGCAGGUGUGACACCACCAACUGCAAUGGGGUCCUGCCCACCGGAGCCACCAUCAGAGUGAAAUAUAUCUUGGUGGAUCCUGCAAACAAAACAAUAGAAUCUGGCACACGUUGGUCCCAACCCAUAACGCUAUUAACACGUAUGUGCACUGUCACUACCUUUCCAUGGAUUUUAAAGUCAGAAAACAUGGCGUCACUUUUUUUUACACUUUACUGUGUUGUAGCUUGCAUUUUAAAUUGAUAAAAUUUGAUUUAAAUUGAUGCAAUUUUUGCCCAUCAAUCUACACAAACAUCUGUCAUUAUGGGUUAUUGGUGGACAAAAAUGGCCAUUUUAUCCAUGUAAAAUAAAAUCUACAGCAUAAUAAAGUGUGCAAAAAAUGAAGGGGUCUCAAAACUUUCUGAAGCCACUGUAUACAAUAAGCUUUGUUUGGGACAAAGAGAUACAGUAUUUUUCUUGAUUCUUUUCGGUUUUCCUCAAUUUUAGGUUUUUAAUCAAAACAACUUGACUUGUUCUCAGCUUUUAUUGAAGUACAAUAAAAGGGCACCAUAAUGUUUGGGACAUAUUAAUGUGAUAUAAAUGUAAAUGUUUAGUGCCUUUUUGAUUUAAGAGAACUUGACAUUCACCAAUUUCCUUUUUCAGUGGUCUUCACCUUGUAGUAAAUGAGGGUCCAUAUUCAGCAACUUCAUUGUUUAGUUUUUGGCUCAAAUGUUUUCUGAAAUGUAGUUUAUCAAAGGUCCGCCAUAUUAUUAUGUUUUGCCAAAAACGAAGGAACCACAGUCUACCCAAUCAGGUAUCUGUUGGUAGUCCCUUGUUCUUGUUAAUCCCAUUGGCCGUCUAUCCAAUGGAACCCACCUACAGUACCAUAUAUUCUAUAUUAUAUAUUAUAACAGACAUCUUCAUUGAGGGCAGUUGCCUGAAGUUAGGUGCAUUUGUUGAAUAAGUGGCACACUUGUAUGGAUGUCCUUUUUUUGAAAAAUGUAUGAUAAGAAUGCAAAAUGUCUUGGAUGAGGUCUAUUGUCUUGCUGCAGGAUCAAGUGCCAUACAUGGACUCAUCUGUCCACAAAACCUUUUUCCAGAACUCUGCAGGCUCUUUAAGGAACUACUGAGCAAACUGUAACCUGACCAUCCUGUUUUUGCAGCUAACUAGCGGUUUGCAUCUACCAGUGUAGCCUCUAUAGAUCUGUGUGUGGAGUCUUCUGUGGAGAGUAGUCACUGACACAUCCACUCCUACCUCCUGAAGAGUGUUUCUGAUCUGACAGAAGUGUUUCGGGGCUUUUCUUCACUGUGGUGAGAAUUCUUUCUGUAGAGGUCUUCCUUGGCCGACCAGGUCCUUUGAUUACUGAGCUUCUUUCGUUUAAAUGAUGUUCCAGUUGAUGUUGGUAAGUCAGACUCAUAAUUGGCUUCCUGGACUUUUAUUGCCACAAUUCUGGUCCUCGUGUUGACAAAUGCCAAUAAAAGACUCCAAAGGCAACAAAAAACCUAGAAACCUAGAAUGCUCUCUUAAACCGGCAAGGAAGCAAAUGAACGCACCUGACCUUAUGAUACCUGGAAAUGGGCGUAGUGUGUAUAAAAAGGUUCUGUAAAUUCAAAAUGGUGAAACAAAAUUGGAUAAACAUACCAUUUGAUGAAAGCUGAGAAUCUGUACUUUAAUCACAUGUGGGUUGAUUGAUAACAAAUAAAAAUUUGUGGAGUAAAGAGCCAUAUCAACAUAAAAAAUUGUCCCGCAUGUUAUGGAGCUCUCUGUAUACAUUGCUCCCUAUGGGUCAAUUCAGUGUAAUGAUUCAAUAAUUAAUGAAAAUUAGUUAUCCAUCCAUCCAUUAUCUUAACCCGCUUAUCCUGAACAGGGUCGCAGGGGGGUUGGAGCCUAUCCCAGCAUACAUUGGGCGAAAGGCAGGAAUACACCCUGGACAGGUCGCCAGUCCAUCGCAGGGCACACACACCAUUCACACACUCAUACACUCAUACACUCAUACCUAUGGGCAAUUUAGACUCUCCAAUCAGCCUAACCUGCAUGUCUUUGGACUGUGGGAGGAAACCGGAGUACCCGGAGGAAACCCACGCAGACACGGGGAGAACAUGCAAACUCCGCACAGAGAGGCCCCGGCCGACGGGGAUUCAAACCCAGGAACUCCUUGCUCCAGGGCCAGCUCCUCCAUUGACGACUCAACGUUGAGACGCUCUGGGGCGAUGGUUGUGAUCACCGUCAUCCUCUCCUGUUCACUGGCGGUGCUGACGCUGCUGCUGGUCGUCACGUUGCUGCAGGGCGG